AGCAAUUAAACUUUAGUGGCGAACGGGUGAGUAACGCGUAAGCAAUCUGCCCCUAAGACGAGGAUAACAGUUGGAAACGACUGCUAAGACUGGAUAGGAGACAAGAAGGCAUCUUCUUGUUUUUAAAAGACCUAGCAAUAGGUAUGCUUAGGGAGGAGCUUGCGUCACAUUAGUUAGUUGGUGGGGUAAAGGCCUACCAAGACUAUGAUGUGUAGCCGGGCUGAGAGGUUGAACGGCCACAUUGGGACUGAGACACGGCCCAAACUCCUACGGGAGGCAGCAGUAGGGAAUUUUCGGCAAUGGAGGAAACUCUGACCGAGCAACGCCGCGUGAACGAUGAAGUAUUUCGGUACGUAAAGUUCUUUUAUUAGGGAAGAAUAAAUGAUGGAAAAAUCAUUCUGACGGUACCUAAUGAAUAAGCCCCGGCUAACUAUGUGCCAGCAGCCGCGGUAAUACAUAGGGGGCAAGCGUUAUCCGGAAUUAUUGGGCGUAAAGGGUGCGUAGGCGGUUAAAUAAGUUUAUGGUCUAAGUGCAAUGCUCAACAUUGUGAUGCUAUAAAAACUGUUUAGCUAGAGUAAGAUAGAGGCAAGUGGAAUUCCAUGUGUAGUGGUAAAAUGCGUAAAUAUAUGGAGGAACACCAGUAGCGAAGGCGGCUUGCUGGGUCUUUACUGACGCUGAGGCACGAAAGCGUGGGGAGCAAACAGGAUUAGAUACCCUGGUAGUCCACGCCGUAAACGAUGAGUACUAAACGUUGGGUAAAACCAGUGUUGAAGUUAACACAUUAAGUACUCCGCCUGAGUAGUACGUACGCAAGUAUGAAACUUAAAGGAAUUGACGGGACUCCGCACAAGCGGUGGAUCAUGUUGUUUAAUUCGAAGGUACCCGAAAAACCUCACCAGGUCUUGACAUGCUUCUGCAAAGCUGUAGAAACACAGUGGAGGUUAUCAGUUGCACAGGUGGUGCAUGGUUGUCGUCAGCUCGUGUCGUGAGAUGUUGGGUUAAGUCCCGCAACGAGCGCAACCCUUAUUGUUAGUUACCAGCACGUAAUGGUGGGGACUUUAGCAAGACUGCCAGUGAUAAAUUGGAGGAAGGUGGGGAUGACGUCAAAUCAUCAUGCCCCUUAUGACCUGGGCUACAAACGUGAUACAAUGGCUGUUACAAAGGGUAGCUGAAGCGCAAGUUUUUGGCGAAUCUCAAAAAAACAGUCUCAGUUCGGAUUGAAGUCUGCAACUCGACUUCAUGAAGUUGGAAUCGCUAGUAAUCGCGAAUCAGCAUGUCGCGGUGAAUACGUUCUCGGGGUUUGUACACACCGCCCGUCAAACCACGAAAGUUGGCAAUACCCAAAGCCGGUGGCCGUAACUACUUCGUAGAAUGUCAGACCC
rnacentral:rRNA from 1 species